rnacentral:rRNA from 1 species
GAUGAACGCUGGCGGCGUGCCUAAUACAUGCAAGUCGAGCGAACAGACGAGGAGCUUGCUCCUCUGACGUUAGCGGCGGACGGGUGAGUAACACGUGGAUAACCUACCUAUAAGACUGGGAUAACUUCGGGAAACCGGAGCUAAUACCGGAUAAUAUAUUGAACCGCAUGGUUCAAUAGUGAAAGACGGUUUUGCUGUCACUUAUAGAUGGAUCCGCGCCGCAUUAGCUAGUUGGUAAGGUAACGGCUUACCAAGGCAACGAUGCGUAGCCGACCUGAGAGGGUGAUCGGACACACUGGAAAUGAGACACGGUCAAGACUCCUACGGGAGGCAGCAGUAGGGAAUCUUCCGCAAUGGGCGAAAGCCUGACGGAGCAACGCCGCGUGAGUGAUGAAGGUCUUCGGAUCGUAAAACUCUGUUAUUAGGGAAGAACAAAUGUGUAAGUAACUAUGCACGUCUUGACGGUACCUAAUCAGAAAGCCACGGCUAACUACGUG